UACGUAGGGACCAAGCGUUGUCCGGAAUCAUUGGGCGUAAAGCGCGCGUAGGCGGCCCGGUAAGUCCGUUGUAAAAGUCAAAGGCUCAACCUUUGAAUGCCGAUGGAUACUGCCGGCUAGAGUCCGGAAGAGGCGAGUAGAAUUCCUGGUGUAGCGGUGGAAUGCGCAGAUAUCAGGAGGAAUACCCAUAGCGAAGGCAGCUCGCUGGGACGGUACUGACGCUAAGGCGCGAAAGCGUGGGGAGCGAAACAGGAUUGAGACUAC
rnacentral:rRNA from 1 species